UGGGGAAUAUUGCGCAAUGGGGGAAACCCUGACGCAGCAACGCCGCGUGAGUGAUGAAGGUCUUCGGAUUGUAAAACUCUGUCUUCAGGGACGAUAAUGACGGUACCUGAGGAGGAAGCCACGGCUAACUACGUGCCAGCAGCCGCGGUAAUACGUAGGUGGCAAGCGUUGUCCGGAUUUACUGGGCGUAAAGAGUAUGUAGGCGGAUAUUUAAGUCAGAUGUGAAAUUCCCGGGCUUAACCUGGGAGCUGCAUUUGAUACUGGAUAUCUAGAGUGCAGGAGAGGAAAGUGGAAUUCCUAGUGUAGCGGUGAAAUGCGUAGAGAUUAGGAAGAACACCAGUGGCGAAGGCGACUUUCUGGACUGUAACUGACGCUGAGAUACGAAAGCGUGGGGAGCAAACAGG
rnacentral:rRNA from 1 species